rnacentral:rRNA from 1 species
GAUGAACGCUGGCGGCGUGCUUAACACAUGCAAGUCGAACGGUGAAGGCGGAGCUUGCUCUGCUGGAUCAGUGGCGAACGGGUGAGUAACACGUGAGCAAUCUGCCCCUGACUCUGGAAUAAGCGCUGGAAACGGCGUCUAAUACUGGAUACGAGCUGCGAAGGCAUCUUCAGCAGCUGGAAAGAACUUCGGUCAGGGAUGAGCUCGCGGCCUAUCAGCUUGUUGGUGAGGUAACGGCUCACCAAGGCGUCGACGGGUAGCCGGCCUGAGAGGGUGACCGGCCACACUGGGACUGAGACACGGCCCAGACUCCUACGGGAGGCAGCAGUGGGGAAUAUUGCACAAUGGGCGAAAGCCUGAUGCAGCAACGCCGCGUGAGGGACGACGGCCUUCGGGUUGUAAACCUCUUUUAGCAGGGAAGAAGCGAAAGUGACGGUACCUGCAGAAAAAGCGCCGGCUAACUACGUG